rnacentral:misc_RNA from 1 species
UUUUGCUAGUAUUUUGUGAACAUGUUGGACUUCUGUCACACUUUACUACUUCAUCCAUCUUACUUUAAUCCUAUAGCUAACAUCCUCUAUACCUCCUCAACUCUACCUAGAUAUGAGUGUAGCCAUGGUUAGAUCAUAAAUUGCCCUUCCCAAGCCCAAAUGAAGUAGGUUGUGAUGGGUGAUAGCCAGCACAGAACUUUGUUGCAUAUUAUGUUAUAAAUAUUAUCUAAUUAAAAACUUAAAUCAUGUAGUUGGAAAGUGGAUUCUAAAUUUGGUCCUUUUACUUGAUAUUUUUUUUAUGGGAAAUGUGCCUUUCAGGUUUUUCAAUUUUUUUAUUGUUAAACAUUAUUUUAUGA